GAUGAACGCUGGCGGCGUGCCUAAUACAUGCAAGUCGAGCGACCGGACGAGAAGCUUGCUUCUCUGAUGUUAGCGGCGGACGGGGUAGUAACACGUGGAUAACCUACCUAUAAGACUGGGAUAACUUCGGGAAACCGGAGCUAAUACCGGAUAAUAUUUUGAACCGCAUGGUUCAAAAGUGAAAGACGGUCUUGCUGUCUCUUAUAGAUGGAUCCGCGCUGCAUUAGCUAGUUGGUAAGGUAACCGCUUACCAAGGCAACUAAGCAUAGCCGACCUGAGAGGGUGAUUGGCCACCCGGGAAGAGAGACGGGGUCGAGACUCCGGCGCGAGGACACAGUAGGGAAUCUUCCGCGAUGGGGGAGAGCCUGACGGAGCAACGCCGCGUGAGUGAUGAUGGUCUUCGGAUCGGAAAACUCUGUUAUUAGGGAAGAACAAAUGUGUAAGUAACUGUGCACAUCUUGACGGUACCGAAUCAGAAAGCCACGGCUAACUACGUG
rnacentral:rRNA from 1 species